CAGGGCUCUGCAGUCUGGUAUCAAAUCCCACCUCUGUCUUCUCUUCUCCAGACUCAAUCCCCUGAGCUCUUCCAGCCUGUCUUCAUCUGUCCUGCCUCCUAGGCCUCUCCUCAUUAUUUAC